GAUGAAGAACGCAGUGAAAUGCGAUAAGUAAUGUGAAUUGCAGAAUUCAGUGAAUCAUCGAAUCUUUGAACGCACAUUGCGCCCGCCAGUAUUCUGGCGGGCAUGCCUGUUCGAGCGUCAUUUCAACCAUCAAGCCCCGGGCUUGUGUUGGGGACCUGCGGCUGCCGCAGGCCCUGAAAACCAGUGGCGGGCUCGCUGUCACACCGGGCGUAGUAGAUUUUAUCUCGCUCUGGGCGUGCUGCGGGUUCCGGCCGUUAAAAAACCCUUUUAACCCAAGGUUGACCUCGGAUCAGGUAGGAAUACCCGCUGAACUUAAGCAUAUCAAUAAGCGGAGGA
rnacentral:misc_RNA from 1 species